rnacentral:rRNA from 1 species
CCUACGGGAGGCAGCAGUGGGGAAUAUUGGACAAUGGGGGGAACCCUGAUCCAGCCAUGCCGCGUGUGUGAAGAAGGCCCUCGGGUUGUAAAGCACUUUCAGUGAGGAAGAACGCCUGGUGGUUAAUACCCAUCAGGAAAGACAUCACUCACAGAAGAAGCACCGGCUAACUCCGUGCCAGCAGCCGCGGUAAUACGGAGGGUGCGAGCGUUAAUCGGAAUUACUGGGCGUAAAGCGCGCGUAGGUGGCUUGAUAAGCCGGUUGUGAAAGCCCCGGGCUCAACCUGGGAACGGCAUCCGGAACUGUCAAGCUAGAGUGCAGGAGAGGAAGGUAGAAUUCCCGGUGUAGCGGGGAAAUGCGUAGAGAUCGGGAGGAAUACCAGUGGCGAAGGCGGCCUUCUGGACUGACACUGACACUGAGGUGCGAAAGCGUGGGUAGCAAACAGGAUUAGAUACCCUGGGAGUC